CCAACACACCUUAAAAUAACUCUAGUCAAAAUGAACUCUUCAAACUAUGAGGACUAUUUACAUAAAAUAUGGUAUGACUUAAAACAUCCAGCAUCAUUUACAGGCCCUGACAAACUAUAUCGUAUAGUUAAAAAAGAAGGCAUAUUUAAAAUUGGAAGGCAUAAAUUAAGGCAAUGGUUGCAGGAUCAGGACCCAUACAGUUUAUCUAGAAAUACAGUGCGUAGGUUCAGGAGAAGUAGAUAUGUUGUUAACACUAUUGACAGUUUAUGGGAAAUAGAUUUGGCCCAAUUUGAUAGCAUUGAAAGUGAAAAUUUAGGAGUGAAAUUUUUGCUGUUUGUUAUUGACGUCUUCUCAAAAUAUUUAUGGAUAGAGCCAAUGAAAGAUAAAACGCAUAAA
rnacentral:lncRNA from 1 species